rnacentral:rRNA from 1 species
AGCCCAGAGCCUGAAUCAGUGUGUGUGUUAGUGGAAGCGUCUGGAAAGGCGCGCGAUACAGGGUGACAGCCCCGUACACAAAAAUGCACAUACUGUGAGCUCGAUGAGUAGGGCGGGACACGUGGUAUCCUGUCUGAAUAUGGGGGGACCAUCCUCCAAGGCUAAAUACUCCUGACUGACCGAUAGUGAACCAGUACCGUGAGGGAAAGGCGAAAAGAACCCCGGCGAGGGGAGUGAAAAAGAACCUGAAACCGUGUACGUACAAGCAGUGGGAGCCUCUUAAUGGGGUGACUGCGUACCUUUUGUAUAAUGGGUCAGCGACUUAUAUUCUGUAGCAAGGUUAACCGAAUAGGGGAGCCGAAGGGAAACCGAGUCUUAACUGGGCGUUAAGUUGCAGGGUAUAGACCCGAAACCCGGUGAUCUAGCCAUGGGCAGGUUGAAGGUUGGGUAACACUAACUGGAGGACCGAACCGACUAAUGUUGAAAAAUUAGCGGAUGACUUGUGGCUGGGGGUGAAAGGCCAAUCAAACCGGGAGAUAGCUGGUUCUCCCCGAAAGCUAUUUAGGUAGCGCCUCGUGAAUUCAUCUCCGGGGGUAGAGCACUGUUUCGGCAAGGGGGUCAUCCCGACUUACCAACCCGAUGCAAACUGCGAAUACCGGAGAAUGUUAUCACGGGAGACACACGGCGGGUGCUAACGUCCGUCGUGAAGAGGGAAACAACCCAGACCGCCAGCUAAGGUCCCAAAGUCAUGGUUAAGUGGGAAACGAUGUGGGAAGGCCCAGACAGCCAGGAUGUUGGCUUAGAAGCAGCCAUCAUUUAAAGAAAGCGUAAUAGCUCACUGGUCGAGUCGGCCUGCGCGGAAGAUGUAACGGGGCUAAACCAUGCACCGAAGCUGCGGCAGCGACGCUUAUGCGUUGUUGGGUAGGGGAGCGUUCUGUAAGCCUGUGAAGGUGUACUGUGAGGUAUGCUGGAGGUAUCAGAAGUGCGAAUGCUGACAUAAGUAACGAUAAAGCGGGUGAAAAGCCCGCUCGCCGGAAGACCAAGGGUUCCUGUCCAACGUUAAUCGGGGCAGGGUGAGUCGACCCCUAAGGCGAGGCCGAAAGGCGUAGUCGAUGGGAAACAGGUUAAUAUUCCUGUACUUGGUGUUACUGCGAAGGGGGGACGGAGAAGGCUAUGUUGGCCGGGCGACGGUUGUCCCGGUUUAAGCGUGUAGGCUGGUUUUCCAGGCAAAUCCGGAAAAUCAAGGCUGAGGCGUGAUGACGAGGCACUACGGUGCUGAAGCAACAAAUGCCCUGCUUCCAGGAAAAGCCUCUAAGCAUCAGGUAACAUCAAAUCGUACCCCAAACCGACACAGGUGGUCAGGUAGAGAAUACCAAGGCGCUUGAGAGAACUCGGGUGAAGGAACUAGGCAAAAUGGUGCCGUAACUUCGGGAGAAGGCACGCUGAUAUGUAGGUGAAGCGACUUGCUCGUGGAGCUGAAAUCAGUCGAAGAUACCAGCUGGCUGCAACUGUUUAUUAAAAACACAGCACUGUGCAAACACGAAAGU